GGGGAGUAGACUCGCGGGCGUUGGACCAACGUCCGGCACAGGGGAAACCGGUGAGAUUCCGGUGCUGUGCCGCAACCGUGAGCCCCGCCCCACCCGGCGGAGCGAGCCGGGAACCCGCGCCGGACAGCCACCACCA
rnacentral:ncRNA from 1 species